rnacentral:rRNA from 1 species
UACGUAGGGGGCAAGCGUUGUCCGGAAUCAUUGGGCGUAAAGAGCGUGUAGGCGGCCAGAAAAGUCCGCUGUGAAAACUCGAGGCUCAACUUCGAGCUGUCGGUGGAAACUUUCUGGCUAGAGUCCGGAAGAGGAGAAUGGAAUUCCUGGUGUAGCGGUGAAAUGCGCAGAGAUCAGGAGGAACACCCGUAGCGAAGGCGGCACUCUGGGCCGAUACUGACGCUGAGGAGCGAAAGCGUGGGGAGCGAACAGG